AGGUAAUUGUGUUAUCUUUGGAAUCCUGUAAUUGUAGAAUGCAAAGUUUAGUGAUUAUUUAAACUGGGCUAAGGCUGGUAAGAGUAUGGAGCAAUGGCCCCUAAGGACUCUAAGGGCUGAAGCCAAGGAGCCGCCUCCCUUCCCUAUUCUGCCCAGCCCAGGGGACCUGCCCCCAUUCCUGUGGCCCAGGGGCCCAGCUUCCACUCGGCAGUGUCAGAAGUGAGUUGUGACUCUGCCUUGGUUGUGAGAUGAGUACAUUCCAAGGGAGCAGCCACGGGGAGGGGGCAGGCUCAGUGAUCCCUUGGAGGCUCCGAGCAGCUGGCCCGAGCUCCAGCUCGCCUCCAACGGAAACUCAAGCGCCCUCAGAAAUGACCCUGGCCGCUGUCACCGCAGAGCUGAGGCAGUGUUGUCAGGGCUAAUGUGAAAUCUCUUCCCGUGGCGCCGAUUCUCCGGCUCGGCAGCGCCAUCUCGGACAGAUUGAGGUCUCUGUGGCUUUGGUGACCCUGCGUAAGCAUUUCCACCGUGUCCCAGCUCUGCUUUCAGCCUGCCGCCCACUGCAACCCCCCUCACCUGACCUCAGGGCUUGAGGAGGGGGGCAGUGACCCCAAGGCCAGGGGCUUUUGCUCAGGAGAGAGGUCAGGCUUCCUGGGGGCUUUGAGCUCUACCGGGGUUCAGCUGACCUGGGACCAGGUGUCACCCAGAGAUGUGCCUCAGGAAGGGCUAGGGAACAAUUUUGUUACUGUAUUAACUUUAGUCACUUAACUCACUUGAGAAACUAACCAAUUUUUACUUUCUGUCUAGAAUGAUGUAUGUGUAGGAGAGUGAGCCGUCAUGCUCCUGAAGUGCCUUGUUUUCUCUGAUAUAAAUAUAUUUAUGAGGAUCUGGUCCAGUGGAUUCUUGGGUGUGUUUGCCACAUCAAGAUUUUAGGGAGUGGGCUUGUUACAUAGUGGGGUUACAGUCUGAAAAUGAGUCCCCUUCCCCUGAAGAUGGGAAAGGAGCUUGAGAUGCAGCUCUGAGCUCUAACCUUCAGGGGUUAAGCCAGACCCCUGAAGUGACCCUUUCCUUGUCACCCUAUUCCUCUCAGGUCCUUAGAAGGAGGUCUAGUUUUUCAAAGCCCCAUGCCUCCAAGCCUGGUCCUACUUGAGUCGCUGCCGGGCUCGUGUGUGUACCACAUUAGCACCCCAGUGACCUGAAGAUUCUGUGUAAUUGUUUUACGUAUACAUGUGAAUGCAUAAAUGCCAACAUCUUAAAUAAUUUGAUAAAGUCUUUGUAACCACG
rnacentral:lncRNA from 1 species